GAAAUGCGAUAAGUAGUGUGAAUUGCAGAAUUCAGUGAAUCAUCGAAUCUUUGAACGCACAUUGCGCCCUUUGGUAUUCCUUAGGGCAUGCCUGUUCGAGCGUCAUCUAAACCCUCAAGCCCUGCUUGGUGUUGGGUGCCUGUCCCGCCCCCGUGCGCGGACUCACCUCAAAUCCAUUGGCGGCCCUCGUGCCGGCCCCGAGCGCAGCAGUAACGCGGUCUCGUGGCCCGGCGGAGCGUGCCCCCAGAAGCAACAUUCACCGUUUUGACCUCGGAUCAGGUAGGGAUACCCGCUGAACUUAAGC
rnacentral:misc_RNA from 1 species